CUGGUUUGGAAGUUUGAUGAGAGGAAGUAGUACGAGAUAUGACAUACUUGCUAUGAUUCACCUACAAAGAGAUACUGCCACAAUAAUUGUGAAUGAGUUUAAAAUGAAUGUGAUAUUCAAGAAACUGUGUAGUGAACAUUAGGACACAUUCUAAAAUGGGAAAUCUCAAGAUGCCUUGGAAGAUGUAGUGUGAUUGGACUUUCCACAAACUAAGUGUGGGUGAUGAUGAAGAGAAAGAGAGACCCAGAGGUGCAAGGCUACAUUCUUCAAGUCUGGGAUCCUCAACACGAGCCUAGCAGGGAAUAACGGGAUGAUUGUGACCAGCAGCUUAAAAAUAAGGAGUAAAACAAUGUUUCACUGCUGUGUAACACUAACUCAUGCAUAUCAGUGCUGGAGACGCAAAGUCAGGGAUGAACAAAAUAUGGGCCACCAAGAUGACAAAGUCGGCACAGCUUCGGUUUGAGGCAUAUGUUGACACCUAUGAAGAAAUCAGAGUUUGCUAAUUCGUGUCCGAAUUAAUAGUUAAUAAUGUUAUUUGUACAUAUUUUGAUAUAUCGAUGAAUCACGUUCAGCCAGUGCCAGUAUUCAGUAACUACCUGAAAUUAAUUGAUGCACAUAAUUUUUCUCGCGACGCUCGCCGGUCCACGGUCAUUCCGAAAUAGUCAUAUCUGACCUUUGAAAAAAUGAGUUUCCCACCCCUGUCCUACACACAUCUUGAGUGCGGGGGAAGUAGAGUUGUAUUAUUCAAAGAACCCUUACAAAAAUCAACCCUUGGUAAAGCAGCUGGUGUCCGUGCAGGAAACAAUGACGAGACCGUUGCCUUGAUCUUAUUAUUUUUAUCGAGUAUUGGAGUUGCAUGUCUGUCAGGGGCAUAUAACAAGGCAGAGUGGAAAAAUUGACCCACAUUCAAAAUGAUACACGGCGCAGGGACCAAAAAGACGAGACCAUCAUCUGUACUGUACCAUGGAGUAAAUUAUAGUCUGUUUGAAGGUAGAACGGAAUGCAUAAUGUUCGCUUUUACUGUUGCUGAAAGUCAUUGAAUAUAGUGAGUUUUAAUUUGAGAAAUAACGUAAGAAGUCCGCUGAAAAAAUAGAACGAAGUCUGAUAUGCUGAAAGUGUUCUUUUACAACCAUUUGUUUGAUUGUUUAGUUGCUUGUUUAUUAAGUCUAUUAUACGCGUCGUAUUUCUGAAUUGGAACAGGCCAUAAAGCCUAACCAGUAAAAACUGAAGUAUUAUUCAUGCAUUUGUUUAUUUAAGUAAUUUAUAUCAUUCGAGGAGACCACUCAUGACGACACUUGUGUUCU